AAGGCAAGGAUCAAAUUAGCCCAUUUUGGCAAAGUGAGCCGCUUCGCCGGCGCGCCGACUCACCGCGCCGCCGCAGUCCAAUCUGCCUCCGUCGACGGCGACGCCCCGAUUCCCCCGAAACCCAUCCGACUAGAGUCUUCCCGACACGCUGAUCCCACGUACUCCGCCUCUCCCCUCCAAACCCGGCGAGUGCGGUGCGACGGACGAUGACGCCGAGGGGGAGGGGGUCGAGGGGCGACACGUGGCUCAAGCUCCCUUCUCGAAUGCCGUUGGGAAGAACACUCCUCACGGCCCCGGAAGAGAGGUGGGGAGAGCGGAGGGGGAUCAGCUGACCGACGGUGGCAGUGGAAGCGUGGAUGCAGUGAGGCAGAGGCUCCCCCGCCGCGCAAGGUUGCCGGCGUCCUCUCCACGGCCGUUGGUGCCCGCACAUAAAGCACCCCGUGCUUCGCUUCUUCGCCGCCGAGAUCUCGUCGACGAAGCCUUUUGCUACACGGCCGGACGCAAGGAGGUCAGCGGCAGCGAGUCUGAAACCUUUGGAGAUUCAGAGGUUCAGAAAAAUUCAGAGUUGCAGCCACAGAAGGGUAGCUGAAUGCAGAAUUAUUUGGACCAUUAGACCACUAUUGUUCCACCAGAAGUUCAGAACAAGAAGACUUCUGGAAACCAAAGGAUAAGUUCCAUUUCAACAUACCGAGAUGUCCAAUUUUCUGUCCACAAUGCAGGCUUGUUAGAUAACAUCGUGGAAAAUCAUGCUAAUUGCUAUAAAUAUGACACAUACAACUGGAUCUGGAGCAUCAUUCUGCUUGCACAUCAUCCAUGGAACACCUGUCUGGAGAUUUACAGCCAUUGCAGCUGCCCAACGAACAUAACGUGGUCCACCUGAGCCAAAUGCAUGCUCAACCAUCUGACAUGCAUAUCAAUCUGGAAAGAGUUGAUACCUGACCCUGGAUGUGCUCAUGAACAUUCCAAAAGACGUAUGUUUGUAUCACAUCGAGGCCACCUGCCUUUGCUUUCGCUAUGAGUUUUGGCCACAUCUGCCGAUUUUAUUGUGCACAAACAUCCUAAUAAAUGGUAUGUGAUGAAUUCGAAAGUUUGGAAUAUAAGGAAAUAUAGAAGUUCAUAGCAGAUCUUGCUCGAAGUAUGUGUGCUUUCAACUUACAUUAACACGCUGAGCUAGAAUGUAGUUUUGAAAGAUAGAUGUAUGCCUCAAGUUGCUAGUUCUCUGAAAAGAGGCAACAAAUAUCUAGGCAACCUGGUCAAUUUAACUUUUUUUUUUGUUCGUACUUAUACCCUUCAGAAAGCACCUGA